rnacentral:tRNA from 1 species
GGCUCUGUGGCGCAAUGGAUAGCGCAUUCGACUUCUAGGCUGUGAGCUGAGCCAUUCAAAGAUUGUGGGUUCGAGUCCCACCAGAGUUG